rnacentral:lncRNA from 1 species
UUCCUUCUUUAUGGGAAUGUGAACAAAUAAGAGCAUAAUAAAAAUAUGUUGAACGAUUAAAGGAUAACAAAGUCAGAGCGAAAUACGUUCAAAUGAAGUCCUUUAUUAUCAAAUGUUCAUUACAAGAAUACAAAAAAUACAAAUAAUGGAUGUGCUACAAAAUACAACUAAAGUAAGAUGAUCUCCCGGUUGAUCGCUGAGUAAGCUUCACACCGCCUUCCUAAAUACAUCGCUGCAAUGGUGGGAUCGCCGAGUAAGAGGGUGUACUGGCCU